GGGAAUUCUAGUUCAUCGAGGUUUGGACUGGAUAGUUUUAUGUCAACGUGACACAAGGUCGAGUUAUCUAAAAGGAGGGAACAUUAAUCGAGAAAAUGCCUCCAUAAGAUUCACCUGAGGCUGGACUGCCCACCCUCCACUCCUCUGCACCCCGCCCCAAUCUGUUUGCCUGGCCAGGCAAUGGCGACGAGAUUGCAAAGGAAACUUCCUUUUUUCCAUUCGCCAUCCCACCAGGAAAAAGGAGUGAGAAACAAAGCCGUCAUCUCCAGUACCGCGUCCAGGACCCUGUCUCCAGGAGCAAACAGCUAGACUGGUCCCAGUCAGACGGAGGAAACCUGGCCAGCUUUUGCUUUCCCCUGAUUCUCGGUACCCUGUCGGUGAAGGCACCGACAAAUGGAGGUCCCACUGAGAUUUGAACUUUGAAUCCAGUGAUCCAAGAUCGGGAAAGAAAAGGUCUCCUGACAGGACGUCCCUGGAAGCUGUUGCAGAAGCAGGGACGUAUUGGGAUAAGAUGGGCUAGAAAAGGCCUCAAUGAUUUGGGCUAGCAUGAGUAAAACUUGUAAUAAAAAAGGGACAAGGUAAUGGUAAAAUGUUUUUGCUUAUGCGUUCUUUUAGAGUUAUGUUUUAGUCUUUGGACCCUGAUUAGAGAUAGUUUACACCCUAGACAUGAGAGAGAAUGGGUUUGGGAAAAACAGUCCUCCCGGACUCUCUGAGGAUGCUUUGGAAAAAGAGAAAAACUUUCAGAGCUCUCCUGGGAACAGAAGAAAGGCAGGAGAUGUCCUAACUCUCUGCUGGCUCCUAUUGGAGAAAUGCUUAUUUCUGGUUCUGGGUUUCAUAGGUAGGAUAUCUGAUUCCCUUCGGUGGGACACCAUCUAGUUUUUUUCCCUCUAUGUCUAUUGUCUGUCCUUGGUGCACCAAGCUGUCCAUGUCUGUCAGUUUAUGUCUGUGGUUUUUGUUUCUCGUUGUUUAAAUGUUUUAUGUUUCAUGUUCAAAAGAAAAAAUGGUAAAAACUUUAUCUGCUGGUCGUUUACAUCUUGAUUUGGUUUUAACUCGUUUCAAAAAAAAGGAACAAAUGAAUAAAAAGCAGUUUCAAUUGGCCUUUGGAGCCCUGUACCUGUAGCUAGGAGCCUAGGUCAGCUGGAGAAGCUGCCCAGGGAUGAGCGUCUGCAUGAGCUGAUUAUUAGACUUAGCAGGUGACAAGGUGCUUCUCUUAAAAUCACAGCUAGAAAAGUCAUAAUGGUGUUUGGUCUAACUAUUAAAGAUAUGUGUAGCCACUUCAAUUUUGUUUCUGAUUGGUUUCAAAUAUAUAAAUAUGCUCUACAUGCCUUGGUUAUGGACUAUUGGUUUUUAAGUUAUUAGAUAUGGUUAAAAAGGUGUAACAUUGGUAACAGAAAGUUGGCUUAAAACUGUAAUUUGGAUGAAGUCAUUCUAGACAACAUGUGGCAUGAGCCAACCUAGGGAAACAGGUCUAAAUUGAGAUAAUAUUUUUAUGGAAUUCUUAUUCUAGAAACCAGGCUUCUAAAAGAUUUUAGGGCAAUGUCUCUUUGUUGGGGUAUCGGAGACUGCACCAUCAUGCGUUCAUAUGUAGUAAUUGGCAGUCAAACUUUUUGCAUGAAGGACAGACUCAGUGUUUUGGAGACUGUAUUUUGGAGACUAGGUUGUUGGAGGUUGAGUUUUGUUUUCCAAAGUUGUGGUUUGCCCUGAAGUUACUGUAUUUUGAUGCUAAUUCCACUGCCCCAAGGACAGCUGCCUAGUCACAUACUCAGAACUCAGGUGACUUUCCAAAGUUGUGGCUGUGCUCUGGUGUUACAAGGAGAACUUAAAGAUUGUGAUUAAGGAUUGCCAGUGUUACAUUGACUAACUCAAACUUACUUAUAAUUGAGAAAAAAUCAAGCAGGUAGAGAUUGUUACAGGAUUUACGAAGGAUUGAUGAGGUUUUGGAACUUGUGAGAGCAUUACAGCUUGUUUGUUUACUCCAACUGCCAUUUCAAGAUAGAUUUAGAGGAUUGUUUUUAUGCAAUUUGUUUACGUCCUGGCGAUUGUGAGGAAUUUUCAUUUCAUGAGCUUGCUUAUAAUUUUAGAGAGCCCAUGAAGUGAUAUCAUUAAAAAUUUUACAAAAGAAUGGCCAAUAGCCUUAUAUUAUGUAAUUUUGUUGCUUCUUUAAUGUAGAAGUUAGAACUUUAAAUCUUUCAGUAUAUAUGGAAAUUUAUACUACAAACCUUUGCUCUCAAAAUGAGCUUUAAUAUUUGGGGAGUAGCUGUUGCACUAUUCCAGAGAAGAAUAUUUGAAACUAAUUUUAAGCUUCCGAGGAUAUGUUAAUUGGCUAAGUACCUCACCUUACCAGAGGACUUAGGCCUUUGUUUGUUAUACUCAUUGGAGAUAAAGCUUCAGUUGUGUUAAUACAGAAUUGUAGGCUAGAGUCAUGGAAGUAUUUUAAAAAGAAACCUGGUGAAACAUACCUUAUUCCAAACAGCAAUUAAAUCGGUUAUUACAAAAUACUAAUAUUUGGCCUAUCACAUGUACAAAUUUUUCAGGCAAAAUUGAUAAUUUUACUCUUUACAUGCUUUUGUUAUUUCCUAUAAAUUUGUGGAUGCAACCCAUAGAAAAUGCGCUUACUGUAUUUAUAGGUGGUUCAUUUAAUAAAAAUGCUACAUAUAUGAUUGGACCACUUGUUUAUUCUCUAGAGUUUCCCCUUGUUCAGCACAGAUUAUUGAAUUAUGUGCUGUAGACGCUGUUUUUUAAAUGUUAAAAAAUCAAGCUUUCAAUUCAUAUACUGAUAGCCAAUGUGUGGCUUAUGGUUUACAAUUGAUUAAAAAGUUUUUCUUUUUUUUUUUUUGAUACUACUAACCCUUAAAUUUUACAAUUAGUUAAUGCUUUAUUGGAGGCAAGUUUUCUACAUGAAAUCAGUGAGUGAUGAUUUCAGUGUGAAUGUCUGACCACUCACUGUCCUUUCAGAGCUCUGGCUCAGACAACUAAAUUAGACCUUAGAUUCAUACCUAGCUUUGUGGAAAUGGUAAUGGAGUUGAUAGCACACCCUCACGAAAAGAGGAAGACUCCAUUUGCUUAUUCUCACUCCCAGUCUUACCCUGCCAGCUCAGGGAUUUCUAAGUAAGGCUAAAUCUGGAUCUUGUUUACAGGAUUUGGCUUUUUUUUUUUUGUUUUUGUUUUUUUUUUCGGAGCUGGGGACCGAACCCAGGGCCUUGCGCUUCCUAGGUAAGCGCUCUACCACUGAGCUAAAUCCCCAGCCCCAGGAUUUGGCAUUUCUAAUUAAUGCUUAUGUUUAGGUAAAUAAAGCUGGUGAGGGGCUAGAGAGAUGGCUUAAUGGUUAAGAGCACUAAGUACUGUUCCUUUAGAGGCCAUUUAAUAACUCAAACUGGAUUGCCUGGACCCCUUAGCAAGGGAGGACAAUGAUACCAGGCAGAUUAUAGGCCUUACAUAGGAACAAUUAGUCAAAAAAUCUCAUUCUUUAUAUAACCAAAACAAUAAUGCUGGAGACAAUAAUUUGGUAUACAAGUCAAUUUAUAAAUGCAAGUGCUCAGUGUCCUUAAUUUAAUCCUUGAGGACUUAUCUUAAUAAAUAAUAUCUUAACAAUAUCUCAAUAAAUAAAAAGGGGGAGUUACAUCCCUGUAUGCUAUACAAUUAUUUAAUAAUACUCCUUUUAUUUCCAAUUUUAAAAUCUGUAUGCCAAGGAAUACUCUGAGUAUUUAUGGCACCCUACAACUAGGCAUACUUCUGCCUAGGUGAAAUAGAAAGAUUCACGUAUUGGCAUGAUUCUGUUCAGAUAUUUUAUAUGGGGAAGAGGGAAUGUUUGUGUUUUUUCUACAGGAUGCUACAGGAGUGUGCCAGCUGCCUGAGUGGCUGGUGAGACAUGCUGAUCCUGGGAGCAUGAAGAUUCAGCUCUCCUGGUUCGGGUCCCCGGAGUCAUUCCUGUGCCCUUAGAGGAAGAUGGAGGAUUCCCCCUCAUCUUUUGUCAUCACAGAGAUUUUGGCGUUGCCGCAGUCAGUGUUACCGCUGCGUGUGUCCCGUCCCACUGUGGCCUACGCUCAGACCCUCUGUGCACUGCUGCUUGCUGGAGAAGACUGGACACCAGCCGUUACCCUUGCCCCCCCCAUUCCCCUGGCGACUCUUGCUGCCUUAACUGGUGUUGUCAUUUUGCAGUCUUUAGCUUCACAGGAAUGCCAUCUGCGUGAAGCUGCUGUGGACUGGGGAACUCUGCCCUGGUUGUGCAGAUCUCAGACAUGGUUGCAUUGCCUGCUGGUUGUUCCAGAGAAGCAUGGCUGAUCCUGAACUGUCCUGGGAAAGACCUUGGCAUUUUCGCUGCUAUUGUAGCAGCCAUUACUGCUGCAGCCAUUGUGUCUGCAGUGUCUGGAGUUACCCUCCCCCAAUCUAUUGUUAGGCAAGCACAGUGGGUGAACUUUCUGGAGUAGUUGCUAACAAUUCGGAAUUCUAAAUUUUAUUACAGGAGCUGCUUGAUGACGGCCCUUGGUGGUAUGGCCAUAGCAGCUGAGGAGAACCAGAGAAACAACAAACAAAGAUGAGGUGCCCACUACAUAUCGGGAGAGGCUCAACUUCCACAAUCUCCUAAAUUAAUGCCAUCUGGCCCCUACUCUUUCGUCCCUGGGCCUGAAUAAGAGGAAUAAAAAGAUGACCCAAUGUAGCCAUCAUCAGUAAUGAGCAACUUCCUCUGACCCUUGACCAAUCUAAGACAUGGAGCCUUGAGGGCGACAAGGUGAUCCUAUGACAGAUAAGGCUGGGGUUCGAGAGGUCGAUCCUAAGCCAGAGGUGACUACGCCCUGUUUAAAUGUACGUGCCGGUCAAAUGCUCCUCUGCCCAGUUUCUCCCCCAAAACACACACGUAUAGCCCAGAACAGUGUGUUACAGCAUAAGUUCAUUCCUAGCCAUUGGGGUGCAGUCCUAACUGCAAGAGUGGCUUGCCAUGGCCGAGCUGGGCACUCUGUGAGACAUGUCUGAUCUCUCUCAGACCACUACUUCCAUCUAAUGGUCUUUUAUAAAAGAAAAACGGGGGAGAUGUAGGGAGCCAUAUUGGAUUUGGGCCUGGCCGCUUCGUGACUGUAUGGCCACAGUUAAGAUGACUGCCAUAAAGUCUUGAGAUUGUUGGACAAAAGCCUCUCCCAUGAAUUUAUGGCACAGAAAGAAAAUAAUCACGGAAUGCUUUGACCCCGGCUGAUGCAUGUGGAACCGACAUACCUGGGCCACACCUGGGCGGUGGUCAAUUCUCUCCUGCCUUUUGCUUUCUCAGCCUUUGUCCUUGAGAUUUAGGCUGGUUUUCUCGGAUUUCUCCCUAAUUAAUUCAGGUCUCGUAGUCAGUCUUUUGUUACCGAAGUCAGGAGCCAGGUAGUCCCGAGCCAGGGUUUCCCACUGUGCUUCCCAGAUAUUUUCUACCUGGGGAACAUGGGUAUAUAAGUGGUGAAUAAAUCUACAGGAGUCUCUCUCUCUCUCUCUUCCUCUCCUGGCUUGACACGAAUGAUCUAUGUGUGUGUGUUUCUUUAAUCCCACAGGCGUUUGCCCGAUUCUCAGUACCGUGCUGGUGCAGGCGCCAACAAUCACAUCCAGGAAAGAGCAUCCUAAAAUAAAUGUAAGCAGGUCUCAUGCAGCCUGGCAACUCUGGUAAAUGCCGGAAACUCUUCAGUGGUGGCUGUGCCUUCUGCACGUGUGCACCAUCUUUCUCAAUAAACGGGAAAAAAAAAAC
rnacentral:lncRNA from 1 species